rnacentral:rRNA from 1 species
AUUGAACGCUGGCGGCAUGCCUUACACAUGCAAGUCGAACGGCAGCGCGGGGCAACCUGGCGGCGAGUGGCGAACGGGUGAGUAAUAUAUCGGAACGUGCCCUGGAGUGGGGAUAACGUAGCGAAGUUACGCUAAUACCGCAUACGAUCCAAGGAUGAAAGCAGGGGACCUUCGGGCCUUGUGCUCCUGGAGCGGCCGAUAUCUGAUUAGCUAGUUGGUGGGGUAAAAGCCUACCAAGGCGACGAUCAGUAGCUGGUCUGAGAGGACGACCAGCCACACUGGAACUGAGACACGGUCCAGACUCCUACGGGAGGCAGCAGUGGGGAAUUUUGGACAAUGGGGGGCAACCCUGAUCCAGCAAUGCCGCGUGUGUGAAGAAGGCCUUCGGGUUGUAAGCACUUUUGUUCAGGAACGAAACGGUU